rnacentral:rRNA from 1 species
AACGAACGCUGGCGGCAUGCCUAACACAUGCAAGUCGAACGAGGCCUUCGGGUCUAGUGGCGCACGGGUGCGUAACGCGUGGGAACCUGCCCUUAGCUUCGGAAUAACUCCCCGAAAGGGGUGCUAAUACCGGAUAAUGUCUUCGGGCCAAAGAUUUAUCGGCUUUGGAUGGGCCCGCGUUGGAUUAGCUAGUUGGUAGGGUAAAAGCCUACCAAGGCGACGAUCCAUAGCUGGUCUGAGAGGAUGAUCAGCCACACUGGGACUGAGACACGGCCCAGACUCCUACGGGAGGCAGCAGUGGGGAAUAUUAGACAAUGGGCGAAAGCCUGAUCCAGCAAUGCCGCGUGAGUGAUGAAGGCCUUAGGGUUGUAAAGCUCUUUUACCCGGGAUGAUAAUGACAGUACCGGGAGAAGAAGCUCCGGCUAACUCCGUG